rnacentral:tRNA from 1 species
ACACUGGUGGGUUAGUGGUAGAAAACUUGCCUUCCAUGUGGGAGGCCUGGAUUCAAUUCCCAGCCAAUGUA